UACGGAGGAUCCAAGCGUUAUCCGGAAUCAUUGGGUUUAAAGGGUCCGUAGGCGGUUUGGUAAGUCUGUGGUGAAAGCCCAUCGCUCAACGGUGGAACGGCCAUUGAUACUGCUAGACUUGAAUUAUUAGGAAGUAACUAGAAUAUGUAGUGUAGCGGUGAAAUGCUUAGAGAUUACAUGGAAUACCAAUUGCGAAGGCAGGUUACUACUAAUGGAUUGACGCUGAUGGGCGAAAGCGUGGGUAGCGAACAGG
rnacentral:rRNA from 1 species